ensembl:snoRNA
GUGCUCGCUGGGGCUUGGUCCUCUCCUUGUGGUCCCUGCCAGUCUUUUGGCCUUUCGUGAGCAAGAGAAGCAGGACUGGCUUGGGACUGUCCUGUUCGAGUGGAUGCAUGUCACCACAAACAGGUGCCUCA